rnacentral:rRNA from 1 species
UACGGGGGGGGUAAGCGUUGUUCGGAAUUACUGGGCGUAAAGGGCUCGUAGGCGGCCAACUAAGUCGGACGUGAAAUCCCCAGGCUUAACCUGGGAACUGCAUCCGAUACUGGAUGGCUUGAAUCCGGGAGAGGGAUGCAGAAUUCCAGGUGUAGCGGUGAAAUGCGUAGAUAUCUGGAGGAACACCGGUGGCGAAGGCGGCGACCUGGUCCGUGACUGACGCUGAGGCGCGAAAGCGUGGGGAGCGAACAGG